GGCAGAGCUGGAGGUUUCACAAGGCUGCUGGGAGAGGCUUCGGUGCAGGAACCCAAGUCCAAGUUUGCUUCUUAGGAUGUGUAAAGCAUGGUCUUUAAGAAAGAGAACCUGGAUUUCAUUGAAUUGUAUUUAUGUCGAAUCACGAGACACCUGCUGGGAGAAGUGUGCUCCUGUUACUCAGAAUUCUGCAAGUGAAAGUAAAAUGUGUUGGGGAUAGUUCCUCCCUAAUCUCCAUUGGGAAGUUUGCAUCUGGAUCCCAGUUGUAUACAGUUUUUGUUAAUUUAUGCUUGUGUGAACAGCUG
rnacentral:lncRNA from 1 species